rnacentral:miRNA from 1 species
GUUUGUGUCUAGGCUAAGCUC